rnacentral:rRNA from 1 species
AUGUUCAUUGGGUAUGUGAAGUUCAUGUCAGUGGGUGUCAGGAUAAUAAAAACUAGGAUACUACCCGCUGAAGGUAAAACCCGCCCCCGAAAAGGUCCAGGGUCCGAUUACAUAAAAGCGAUCCAGGAAAUCAAUGAAUGUCAUCCCUGUCAUCACCAAAGCAGGCGGAUCCCCGAGCAUACAUACGUCACCAAAGCAGGCGGAUCUGCUAGCACAAGUGUAGAUACAACACACACAUUUUACUCUCAAGUCUGCACAAUAAUACCAGAUGCCUCGCAAGCCUGCGCAACUCAUGUAGAUACAACACACACAUUUUACUCUCUGGAUAUAUGGACAAUCUCUGUUCACAGCUGCUAG